GCCACAAUCCAAUCAAAUGUUUGUAAUUCUAGGUCCCAUUUUGUGACGAAGGGUGGUGUAAUUGCUGUAUUUAUUCCAUGAUUAAACUUUAUUAACUUAAUAUGAUCUGAAUUGAAUUUAUACCUAAAACUCUUAGGCAAAAAAUAUUAAUCACUUGUGAGGUAUGCGACUACGUUGGUAAAAUUGUCAAUUUCUGAGACAUGUAUUCAUUUGAAGGGGAUUUUCGGCGGAAACCGCAACAAAACUUGUCCGGGGCCAGCGCUCAGCGCAAAACUAACCGAGAUGCUCUCAUUCUUCAGACUCAACAACAAAGACAAAAACGAGAGGAGCACAGGAAGCGUCUCAACAGCACUGUUAAAAUCCAAGCAUUUGUGAGAAGUUACCUGACAAGGAAACACUGCAAGCAGAGUGAGCGGGAGGACUUUGACAACAUAUUCCCUAAAGUCAAUGCGGAAGAUGUUGACAUGUUGUGUGCACUGGUUGUAAAAAUCCUAUUUUUCUAUGAUGGGAAACUUGAUUCUUCUAGACUGGUGUCAGUGUCCCAGCUGUUGUUAAAACAAUGGCGAAAAGUAUUUCAAAAUGGAGGCUGUUAUAUUCAAAUUAGACGAUUGCUUGUCCUUCAUCUGCGGCUGUUAAAAGAAGGAUCAGAGGUACCUUUAGCUGUACCGCUCAGAAUGUUUGAAGUAUUCACUUCUGUAAAUUCAGCAGAAAACUCUAUGAACUCUGAUGAAGUUUUGAGCAAUGUUGCUGGAACAUUUUUAUACUUAGUUAAAAGAGGCUACUUCACAGAGCUACGGGAGCUGUUGUGCCGUAAGACGCCCCCGCUGUAUGGACCUUCUCCCAACCCGCCCACGCCUCUCUGCGGAGCCCUGCUGGACCUAAUACAGAGACCGCUCAAUCUAACCACCCAUGUUCACGUCAGUGGAUAUGAUAACAUGGUUAUGUCAGAAUUCGCAUCAGCAUUCCUCUGCAACCCGUACCCCGAGCCGGUGGAGAUGUACAUAAUACCAGCCCUCUCCGUGGACAGCAGAAAGUUCCCGUUUCUGGCCCUCAUGCAGUGCCUGCAGGAUGACACCAUAUUCAACAAGAGCGUGCUCAACGAUUCAUGGCUGCUGCAUUCUGUGCUGUCGCUAGAACCUCCAGGGUUUGCGAACGAAAUCCGCAACAUCAACAACACAAGACUGCCGAACAACCCCAUCGUCCUAGACUACCUUAAAAUAAUAGCCCAGCUCACCGUCAACGUAUGCAACAAGCAAAUCACGUACGAGUACGAAGACUCCCUGUACAGCCAAGAGACCGCGGCAGACAAGGACGACGAUAGCGACAGCGAGACAGAACCUAAUCCAACCUCUGUGCGGGAACAGAUGCUGCUCACUCGGUGUAUAGAAAUAUUGAACGAGCCGGAUAGAUGUGUGAUGACUACUUGCUCGCAGAUUACAGAGAGUGAUUUGAGUGAGGACUUCUUGGAUUGCUUGUCGAAGAUCUGUCAUAAUUUGUUGCUGAGUCAUAGGAUGGCGUUGCAUAAAUAUAGAUUACUGUACACGCUGGCGUUCAAGCCCAUAUUCCUACGGGGUCUAUGGCACUGGCUCAGCCAUAUGAGUCACGAGUCUUCCUUCGGAGGGUCUGCCACGCCGCUCCUGUCCGCUCUCUCCCGUGGCAUGGGCGCCGAGUCCACCGUCAUAGGCGUCCAUAGGCUACUAGCGCCGCUGGCUGUGUUCUGCGCGCUGUUCUCGCUACUUAUCGGGACGUUGCACGACACGGAGUUCUGCAGGGAUGUGGACGACGAUGAUUCCAUGAGCUGCGAGUCCAUUUAUAACAAUGAUAGCAACGUAUCUCACUUCCCUACCGGCGGCGGCGGCCGAGUCCACGCCUUUGAGUUUUCCGAGCUCGGCGGUCUGUGCCGGAUGCUUCGGCAAGUGUGCCUCGGAUUGGUGGAACUGGCGUAUCCAGAAUCCCGGCCGGCGGUCAAUACGCAGUAUCGAGAUGCAGUCGGAGCGACUAUAGAGCUGGCUGGUAGUCAGACGCCUGCUUGGUCACACUUAUUCAAGGUGUGCACACAUCUCCUUCGUGCGUUAUACGUACGUGACUCACGCCUGUGCUUCAUGCCGCCCGGGUCGUGGCCGGUGCGAGGUUGCGUGCCAGAAGGAGCCGCCGCUGUAUUAGUAGUGGCCGGUACUCACGUGCGACCCAAUCCGCGUCAGUUGCGCCGCCCGCAACACCACCUACAUCAUGUGAGGGACCAGGAUGAGGGACCACCGCUAACAAUCAAAGAGCUCCGGACAGUCACUAUUCUAAGAGAAAUCCCGUUCGUCGUUCCGUUUGCCACGAGAGUCCUUAUAUUCCAAGGAUUACUCGUUAGAGAAAAGCACGAUCACUGGUAUGAGAUGUCAAACUUCAACGAGGGACCUUCAAUAAACAUUAGUGUACGGCGGACGCAUCUGUAUGAAGAUGCUUUUGACAAACUCAGUCCUGACAAUGAGCCGGACAUGAAAUUAAAGCUGCGAGUGCAGCUCAUCAACCAGGCGGGAGCCGAGGAGGCGGGCGUCGACGGCGGCGGACUGUUUAGGGAAUUCCUAUCAGAGUUACUGAAAUCGGCGUUUGACCCCAACAGAGGCUUGUUCCGGCUGACGAAAGACAACAUGCUGUACCCCAAUCCCGGGGUACAUUUGCUGUAUGACGACUUUCCUAUGCAUUACUAUUUUGUUGGCAGAAUGCUUGGCAAGGCAUUAUACGAGAACCUUUUAGUGGAACUACCGUUAGCCGAAUUCUUCCUCGGAAAGCUGUGUUCCUCCCGCGAGCCCGACGUUCACGCGUUGGCGUCUCUAGACCCGGCGUUAUACCGUGGAUUGCUCAUGUUGAAGUCACAUCGGCGGCAGGAUGUGCCUGACUUGGGGCUGGAUUUUACGAUAGUAAGCGACGAGCUAGGAGAACAACGGAUAGAAGAAUUAAAACCUGGUGGAGCUAACAUUCCAGUAACGUCUGAAAAUAGGAUAGAAUACAUACAUUUAGUAGCCGAUUACAAAUUAAACAGACAAAUAAGGUCGCAGUGCAACGCGUUCAAACGCGGCCUAACAUCAGUAGUGAAUGCGGAGUGGCUCCGAAUGUUCUCCUGCCGAGAACUACAGCUGCUCAUAUCGGGUGCAGAAGUUCCAAUAGACCUGGAAGACCUGAGGGCACACACGCAGUAUGCUGGUGGAUUCUCCGCGACGCACCCAACGGUGCAGUGGUUCUGGAAGGUGGUGGAAAACUUCGCGGAUGCACAGCGUCGGCAGCUGCUCAAGUUUGUCACCAGCUGCUCAAGGCCACCACUACUGGGUUUCAAGGAUCUUCAACCCCCGUUCUGCAUCCAAUCUGCCGGCGCAUCCGACCGGCUGCCGUCGUCUUCGACCUGCAUGAACCUGCUCAAGCUGCCCGAGUUCCACUCCGAGCAGCAACUACACGAGAAGCUGCUCUACGCCAUACAGGCCGGCGCCGGCUUCGAGCUCAGCUAGAGUGAGUCCGCACUAGUAUUACAGCACGCGUGCGACAGGGACAGCACUACUCCUCAACCUGCAUGAACCUGCUCAAGCUGCCCGUUCCACUCCGAGCAACAACUACACGAGAAGCUGCUCUACGCCAUACAGGCCGGCGCCGGCUUCGAGCUCAGCUAGAGUCACAGUCAUGAGAACAAACUUGUAUGCGUGCAAAUAACUUAAUGAAUUAUUUUGAAAGAUUUUUCAUGAAUAGUACAUCUAAAUGUGAUAAUAUUAUAUCUAAUGACGUUCAGUGUCUUAUUGUGUAUAUAGUAAAAUGUUACCCUAUCCGCUCACUCACUUUAUUUUAAGAUCAUGCAUAUAAUCGUACGAUUGCAGUAUGUUUAUUUUUUUAUGUUCCUAUUUUAUAAUAAAUAUCUUGACGUAUUUAAAAUACUUGGUAUCAUCAAUUCAUCACACGAAGAAGCGGGUUUAAGUAUAUAUUGGCCUGGUUCUCGAAAAAGGGACUUUAAAGUGGCUAGAGGCGUACACAAGUGGCCAAUAUUUUCGCUACCUAGCGUGAACGACUAGCUACUUGUCUAUGCGCCUUGGCCCUUACGCAAAUAUUGACUAUGCUCCAAUAAAAUGAGACUUUACAUCGAAUUAUAGUCCCUAGUAACGACUCAUUAGACCAUAGUUUCAAUAUAAUUUUAUGUGAAUCUACUUCUACGUGUAAAUAUAUUGGCAAAACACCGUAUUUGUGUAAGUAGCUAGUCUGGAUUGAUAAUGUUUAUAUUUGACGUGUAAUAGGAAAUGAUUAUUAUGAAAUUUCGAAUGCAAUUGUACAUAGUCACAACGACUGUUUAGUUGAGGCACAAUUCUUGCACAUUUUUAUUAAAAAAACACGAUACGAAUUCAGAGCUUGUAUUCUGUUUUGAAACACGUUUCGUAUCGAAAUCGAGAGAACUUCCUAAAAUCAUGAUAAAACUGUCGAUUCGAAAUUUUGUCGUUAAUGGGGUGAGUAAAAUUGCCGGAGGCUGUGCACAUUUUUUAUUGUUAAUUAAAUGUGAAUAACAACUAUGAUUCUUAAACUGUAUGUUUAAUAAGUCAGCCAGUACGUUUUCUUAUUAGUUACUGAAUAUCAUGGUUAAAUAUAUCGUCACUACUUUGAAAAAAUCUCGUAUCUCACGCUGCUCCUCAAAGUUAAAACGCAGUAAGUAUAUAUGCAUUCAAUAUAUACUACAAUUUUCUUUUCAUUGACAGACGAAGAUAAAAGGUUUUUUUAAAGUAGUGACGAUAUAGUCAUAUUGACACCAGCAUAAAUAAGAUCGAAUGGUGAAUUACUAACAGUAAUUUUUAUUAAGUAAGUUAUGCUUUUUAGUAUUGAAAACAAGUCAAGAAAUUUGGCUCAACUACACAGUCGUAAUUAGUUAAAUGGUUGGGUAUAAAUGCAUAGUUAGUUAUAUUUACCGUGUCGGUCUGGUACCUGUAUAUUAUCCGUGACGAUUUGUGUCAAAUUUGCGUUUUUAUUUUAGAUUCUAUAUUUUUAGUACCUAUUUAAUAAAGUUGUCGUACCCUUCA
rnacentral:misc_RNA from 1 species